UGGGGAAUUUUGGACAAUGGGCGAAAGCCUGAUCCAGCCAUGCCGCGUGUGUGAAGAAGGCCUUCGGGUUGUAAAGCACUUUCGGACGGAACGAAAUCGCGCGGGUGAACAAUCCGCGUGGAUGACGGUACCGUAAGAAGAAGCACCGGCUAACUACGUGCCAGCAGCCGCGGUAAUACGGAGGGUGCGAGCGUUAAUCGGAAUUACUGGGCGUAAAGCGUGCGCAGGCGGCGCCGCAAGUCGAGUGUGAAAUCCCCGAGCUUAACUUGGGAAUUGCGCUCGAAACUACGGUGCUGGAGUGUGGCAGAGGGAGGUGGAAUUCCACGUGUAGCGGUGAAAUGCGUAGAGAUGUGGAGGAACACCGAUGGCGAAGGCAGCCUCCUGGGCCAACACUGACGCUCAUGCACGAAAGCGUGGGGAGCAAA
rnacentral:rRNA from 1 species